UGAGAUAAAAUGAUCUUGCCUAACUUUC
rnacentral:piRNA from 1 species